AUAUUGGUCAAUGGUCGGCAGACUGAACCAGCCAAGUCGCGUGAGGGAAGACGGCCCUACGGGUUGUAAACCUCUUUUGUCGGAGAGUAAAGUACGCUACGUGUAGCGUAUUGCAAGUAUCCGAAGAAAAAGCAUCGGCUAACUCCGUGCCAGCAGCCGCGGUAAUACGGAGGAUGCGAGCGUUAUCCGGAUUUAUUGGGUUUAAAGGGUGCGUAGGCGGCACGCCAAGUCAGCGGUGAAAUUUUCGGGCUCAACCCGGACUGUGCCGUUGAAACUGGCGAGCUAGAGUGCACAAGAGGCAGGCGGAAUGCGUGGUGUAGCGGUGAAAUGCAUAGAUAUCACGCAGAACCCCGAUUGCGAAGGCAGCCUGCUAGGGUGCGACAGACGCUGAGGCACGAAAGCGUGGGUAUCGAACAGGAUUAGAUACCCUGGUAGUCCACGCAGUAAACGAUGAAUACUAACUGUUUGCGAUACAAUGUAAGCGGUACAGCGAAAGCGUUAAGUAUUCCACCUGGGGAGUACGCCGGCAACGGUGAAACUCAAAGGAAUUGACGGGGGCCCGCACAAGCGGAGGAACAUGUGGUUUAAUUCGAUGAUACGCGAGGAACCUUACCCGGGCUCAAACGCAGGGGGAAUAUAUAUGAAAGUAUAUAGCUAGCAAUAGUCACCUGCGAGGUGCUGCAUGGUUGUCGUCAGCUCGUGCCGUGAGGUGUCGGCUUAAGUGCCAUAACGAGCGCAACCCCUAUCGACAGUUACUAACGGGUCAAGCCGAGGACUCUGUCGAGACUGCCGGCGCAAGCCGCGAGGAAGGUGGGGAUGACGUCAAAUCAGCACGGCCCUUACGUCCGGGGCGACACACGUGUUACAAUGGCAGGUACAGAAGGCAGCCAGUCAGCAAUGACGCGCGAAUCCCGAAAACCUGUCUCAGUUCGGAUUGGAGUCUGCAACCCGACUCCAUGAAGCUGGAUUCGCUAGUAAUCGCGCAUCA
rnacentral:rRNA from 1 species